rnacentral:rRNA from 1 species
UACAGAGGUCCCAAGCGUUGUUCGGAUUCACUGGGCGUAAAGGGUGCGUAGGUGGUCGGGUAAGUCUGAUGUGAAAUCUUCGAGCUCAACUCGGAAAUGGCAUUGGAUACUAUUCGGCUGGAGGGUUGGAGGGGGGACUGGAAUUCUCGGUGUAGCAGUGAAAUGCGUAGAUAUCGAGAGGAACACCAGUGGCGAAGGCGAGUCCCUGGACAACUCCUGACACUGAGGCACGAAAGCUAGGGGAGCAAACAGG